AUGACAGACUACUUGAUGCACUGGAUACGACAGAAACCAGGGAAAGCUCUGGAGUGGAUUGGGAGAGUUUACACAGGUAUCAGUGGUGAUGAAAUCCGGUUGGAUCAGUCACCUGCUGAGAUCAAGAGACCUGGAGAAACAGUGAAGAUCUCCUGUAAAAUAUCUGGUUUUACAAUGACAGACUACUUGAUGCACUGGAUACGACAGAAACCAGGGAAAGACCAGUUCUCCAUCACCACAGACACCAGCAAAAACAUGCUGUAUUUAGAGCUGAAAAGCCUCAAGACUGAAGACACAGCUGUUUAUUACUGUGCACGACAGUCACAGUACGACUACAAGGCUCAACAAUAA